GACGAACGCUGGCGGCGUGCCUAAUACAUGCAAGUUGAGCGCUGAAGGUUGGUACUUGUACCAACUGGAUGAGCAGCGAACGGGUGAGUAACGCGUGGGGAAUCUGCCUUUGAGCGGGGGACAACAUCUGGAAACGAAUGCUAAUACCGCAUAAUAACUUUAAACACAAGUUUUAAGUUUGAAAGAUGCAAUUGCAUCACUCAAAGAUGAUCCCGCGUUGUAUUAGCUAGUUGGUGAGGUAAAGGCUCACCAAGGCGAUGAUACAUAGCCGACCUGAGAGGGGUAUCGGCCACAUUGGGACUGGGAAACGGCCCAAACUCCUACGGGAGGGAGCAGUAGGGAAUCUUCGGCAAUGGACGGAAGUCUGACCGGACAACGCCGCGUGAGUGAAGAAGGGUUUCGGAUCGUAAAACUCUGUUGGUAGGGAAGAACGUUGGUGGGAGUGGAAAGCUCAUCAAGUGACGGUAACUACCCAGAAAGGGACGGCUAACUACGUG
rnacentral:rRNA from 1 species